GUCGUGACUGCGUGCCUUUUGAAGAAUGAGCCUGCGAGUUAGCGGUGUGUAGCGAGGUUAACCCGUGUGGGGAAGCCGUAGCGAAAGCGAGUCCGAAUAGGGCGAUUGAGUUGCACGCUCUAGACCCGAAGCGGAGUGAUCUAGCCAUGGGCAGGUUGAAGCGGAGGUAAGACUUCGUGGAGGACCGAACCCACCAGGGUUGAAAACCUGGGGGAUGACCUGUGGUUAGGGGUGAAAGGCCAAUCAAACUCCGUGAUAGCUGGUUCUCCCCGAAAUGCAUUUAGGUGCAGCGUCGUGUGUUUCUUGCCGGAGGUAGAGCACUGGAUAGGCGAUGGGCCCUACCGGGUUACUGACCUUAGCCAAACUCCGAAUGCCGGUAAGUGAGAGCACGGCAGUGAGACUGUGGGGGAUAAGCUCCAUGGUCGAGAGGGAAACAGCCCAGAGCAUCGACUAAGGCCCCUAAGCGUACGCUAAGUGGGAAAGGAUGUGGAGUCGCAGAGACAACCAGGAGGUUGGCUUAGAAGCAGCCACCCUUGAAAGAGUGCGUAAUAGCUCACUGGUCAAGUGAUUCCGCGCCGACAAUGUAGCGGGGCUCAAGCGUACCGCCGAAGUCGUGUCAUUGCAGCAAUAGGGCCAACGCCUGCUGUGAUGGGUAGGGGAGCGUCGUGUGCCGGGUGAAGCAGCAGCGGAAGCUAGUUGUGGACGGUUCACGAGUGAGAAUGCAGGCAUGAGUAGCGAUACACACGUGAGAAACGUGUGCGCCGAUUGACUAAGGGUUCCUGGGUCAAGCUGAUCUGCCCAGGGUAAGUCGGGACCUAAGGCGAGGCCGACAGGCGUAGUCGAUGGACAACCGGUUGAUAUUCCGGUACCCGCUUUGAAACGCCCAAUAUCGAAUCAGGCGAUGCUAAGUCCGUGAAGCCGUUCCGGACCCUUCGGGGAAAGGAAAGUGGUGGAGCCGACGAACCAGACUUGUAGUAGGUAAGCGAUGGGGUGACGCAGGAAGGUAGUCCAGCCCGGGCGGUGGUUGUCCCGGGGUAAGGGUGUAGGCCGAGGGGUAGGCAAAUCCGUCCCUCAUAUAAGGCUGAGACCUGAUGCCGAGCCGAUUGUGGUGAAGUGGAUGAUCCUAUGCUGUCGAGAAAAGCCUCUAGCGAGUUUCAUGGCGGCCCGUACCCUAAACCGACUCAGGUGGUCAGGUAGAGAAUACCGAGGCGUUCGGGUGAACUAUGGUUAAGGAACUCGGCAAAAUGCCCCCGUAACUUCGGGAGAAGGGGGGCCAUCACUGGUGAUCGGACUUGCUCCGUGAGCUGGGGGUGGCCGCAGAGACCAGCGAGAAGCGACUGUUUACUAAAAACACAGGUCCGUGCGAAGCCGUAAGGCGAUGUAUACGGACUGACGCCUGCCCGGUGCUGGAACGUUAAGGGGACCGGUUAGUGCGCUUUCGGGCGUGCGAAGCUGAGAACUUAAGCGCCAGUAAACGGCGGUGGUAACUAUAACCAUCCUAAGGUAGCGAAAUUCCUUGUCGGGUAAGUUCCGACCUGCACGAAUGGCGUAACGACUUCUCGACUGUCUCAACCAUAGGCCCGGUGAAAUUGCACUACGAGUAAAGAUGCUCGUUUCGCGCAGCAGGACGGAAAGACCCCGGGACCUUUACUACAGUUUGAUAUUGGUGUUCGGUUCGGCUUGUGUAGGAUAGGUGGGAGACUUUGAAACCCCAACGCCAGUUGGGGUGGAGUCGCCGUUGAAAUACCACUCUGGUCGUGCUGGAUGUCUAACCUCGGUCCGUGAUCCGGAUCAGGGACAGUGUCUGAUGGGUAGUUUAACUGGGGCGGUUGCCUCCCAAAGGGUAACGGAGGCGCCCAAAGGUUCCCUCAGCCUGGUUGGCAAUCAGGUGUUGAGUGUAAGUGCACAAGGGAGCUUGACUGUGAGACCGACGGGUCGAGCAGGGACGAAAGUCGGGACUAGUGAUCCGGCGGUGGCUUGUGGAAGCGCCGUCGCUCAACGGAUAAAAGGUACCCCGGGGAUAACAGGCUGAUCUUCCCCAAGAGUCCAUAUCGACGGGAUGGUUUGGCACCUCGAUGUCGGCUCGUCGCAUCCUGGGGCUGGAGUCGGUCCCAAGGGUUGGGCUGUUCGCCCAUUAAAGCGGUACGCGAGCUGGGUUUAGAACGUCGUGAGACAGUUCGGUCCCUAUCCGCUGUGCGCGUAGGAAUAUUGAGAAGGGCUGUCCCUAGUACGAGAGGACCGGGACGGACGAACCUCUGGUGUGCCAGUUGUCCUGCCAAGGGCAUGGCUGGUUGGCUACGUUCGGGAGGGAUAACCGCUGAAAGCAUCUAAGCGGGAAGCCUGCUUCAAGAUGAGUAUUCCCACCUCCUUGAGAGGGUAAGGCUCCCAGUAGACGACUGGGUUGAUAGGCCAGAUGUGGAAGCCCGGUAACGGGUGGAGCUGACUGGUACUAAUAGGCCGAGGGCUUGUCCUCAGUUG
rnacentral:rRNA from 1 species